rnacentral:rRNA from 1 species
CCUACGGGAGGCAGCAGUCGGGAAUAUUGCGCAAUGGAGGAAACUCUGACGCAGUGACGCCGCGUGCAGGAAGAAGGUUUUCGGAUUGUAAACUGCUUUAGACAGGGAAGAAAAAAGACAGUACCUGUAGAAUAAGCUCCGCCGAACUACGUGCCAGCAGCCGCGGUAAUACGUAGGGAGCAAGCGUUAUCCGGAUUUAUUGGGUGGAAAGGGUGCGUAGACGGAGAAGCGAGUUAGUUGUGAAAUCCCUCGGCUUAACUGAGGAACUGAAAAUAAAACUACUUCCCUUGAGUACUGGAGAGGAAAGUGGAAAUCCCAGUGGAGCGGUGAAAUGCGUAGAUAUUAGGAGGAAACACAGGGGCGAAGGCGACUUUCUGGACAGUAACUAACGUUGAGGCACGAAAGUGUUGGGAGCAAACAGGAUUAGAUACCCGGGUAGUC